rnacentral:lncRNA from 1 species
UUUUUAUUGAUCUCUCCAAUUAAGAGAGGGAGGAUGUUUGGGUGGAGGCUAGAUGCACUUUUGUAAGCACAUUACUUGUCUCAAUUUUUCAUAUUAGUGAAUUAAUCUAUGUGCUUGUGCGUCAUGUUGUGCUGAGGUUAAGAUUGAUUUGAUCCAUCUAAAAUCAUGCUAGGGCAUCUUAUUAGAGCUUAAUCUAUUCUCGUCAUUGUCUGAUACAGUCUGCUUGUUCCUUUAAUAUCUCAAGAUCCGAAAGUCCGAUUGACAUGAUUCCAGUUGGGUUAGUUGCAUAAUUUUGUAUAGAUUUUUCUGUCAAAUUUUUAGGUUGAUCGGUCUUACGGAUUUUCGUCCAUAUCCUUUUUAUUAAGGAAACAGUAUUCUGUCCAGAUUUGAAAAACGUGAUUUAAUUAGGUUUUGAGAGGAAGGAGAAGUGUUAAACUUUAUUUUUUGAACUUGCGCCCAUUCACCCCCCUCUCUGGUCGCCGUUUCGGUCCUUCAAUUGGUACCAGAGCCAGUUAAGGUUUUCUAUAUCUUAAUCGGUUACGAAAACCAUGGCGACCUCCGGAAAAUUCGAUACACGCGCUCCGCAUUUUGAUGGUACUGAUUAUGACUAUUGGCAGUCACGUAUGAAAGCUUAUUUGAAGGGGAAGGGGAUGAAUCUGUGGAGGAUCACACAAAACUCUACAUAUGUGAUUCCUGCAGAGGACCCUACUGAUCCUGCUGCUGUUGCUCUUCUUGAAGCAAAUAAUCGGGUUGUUGACAUUUUGCAAGCUUCUCUUUGUAAACCCGAGUAUGAUCGUAUUUCCAGUGAGGAGCUAGCUUUUCAGAUCUGGGAUAAAUUAAAGAAAUAUCAUGAAGGCUCCAACGCUAUAAAAACACGAAAAUUUGAAAUUUAUAGAAAAGAAUUUGAUGCUUUUUCUCAGUUGCCUGGUGAAUCUAUUGAAGAUCUUUUUGCAAGGUUUCAAGUGAUUGUAAACAAAAUGAAAGCCCUUAAUAAGGAUAUGCCUUACAAUGAUCAUGCAAGGGCUCUCAGAUUGUUGCAUUCACUUACUGAUGAGUGGGAUAUGAAGGUAGAGGCAAUCGUUGAGUCCGCUGGCUAUGAGACUCUUACCACUGACGAGCUUUUCAGUAAGCUUAAGUCAAAAGAGAUUGAUGUCCUCUCCAAGCGCAAAUUGAAAAAUCCCACUAGCGCUUCUUCUUCUGAUGUUCCUAUGGCUUUGGUUUCUAGGAGUAAAACUAACGCUAACACUAAUCCAGUUCCUCCAAGCUCUUCCUUGUCUUCUUUGUGUCAUGUUGCAGAUGAUGAGUUGGAGACGCUAGAUGAUGAUCAGUUGGUGCUGCUCUCCAACAAAUUCAAGCGAGUCUAUGAGAACCGACGCAACAGAAGACGCUCAGAAGGAUGUUUCAGCUAUGGUGAGCGAGGCCACUUUGCAGCUUAUUGCCCGAACAAGAGAACAUUUGAUCAGGGCAACAACUCCAGGCGCUAGGAACAACCAAGGGAGAAGAAUAAGAAGGGUGACAGGCGCAUGAAGAAGAAUGGCCAGAAGUACACUGAUAAGCAAAUUAAAAGGGCUGCACAUGUUUUGUUUUCUUCUCUUGGUGAUUUUGUUUCAGAUGCUUCUUCGAACUCAAGUGAUUCAGACUCCGAGAAUGAGCUGCCCAAAAAGAAAACUGACGGACUCUGCUUCCUCGCCGACAUCAAGGGAGGGAUGUGCACCAUGGCCUUAGAAGAUGAUGAAGCUUCUAAUCUCAGCGACAACUCUUCUGACAAUGAGGUACAAAAUUUAGCAGAAGAAGAAAUUAAAGAAUUGACAAAAAUUAUUGAUAAACAAAACAAGAUUUUAGCAAAACUUAAGGCUGAGUAUGAUAGAGUCAUCUCUGAAUUAAAAGACUUAAAAGAUGCUACUCCUGCUGAAGUAGAAUGUGAAGAGUGCUCUGUGCAUAUGGUUUCACUUUCUGAAUUGCAAUCUAAGCAUGCCUUCAUUGUUGACAAAUUUGAAAAUGCUAAGAUUGAGUUAGAAAAACUUCACUCUGGUUCGGCUUCACUUGGCGCUUGUGCUUCUUGUCCAACCUUGAAAUCUGAAUUGAAUAAUGCUAAAUCUCGUGUUAUUGAGUUGGAGAAACACUCUUGUCCUGCUUUGCCUUCCUGUUUAACUUGCCCUACUUUUGUUGCUGAAAAUAAUGAUUUGAGGGUGAAGUUUUCUGCUUUGGAAGAAGAAAAUAAACAUUUGAGAGUGAUUCUUGGUUGGUGCUCUAUUCGUGAACCUCAGAUUGGUAUGUCAAUUGCUCAAAUUAAACGGAGUGAGCGUUUUGGACCUGGAUAUGAUUUGAAACAUGUUUUUGGUGAAAAGAGUGGACCUCCUAUUUCUGAAAAGAAUCCACCUUUGGCUAAGUACACUGGACCACCUCCUAGGAAAGAGGGUCCAUGUGUCACAUCUGAGGGGUUGUUAGUUGAACCAUCCAGAUCUGUUCCAAAAAAGCAGGUUUGGGUGCCUAAACCUAAACACUUCAAUGUUGCACAGAACGCUAAGCCAUCUACUUCGCCAUGUGUUCACACUGCUAGACCUACGCAUAACUUUGUUGCUUCUGGUUCUAAGGCUAAGGCUUCUUUUGCUCCUUCACAUAAGCAUUACCAUUGUGAUUUUUGUGAUCGUGAUGGUCAUCUCUAUGGGUUUUGCUUCCGUCGGAAGCGUGCUGAGAGACGUGAGCAGUACUCUGCACGUGGUACUCAUGAUCGUCCUAUUUUGGGUCGUGAACCUGCUAGUUGGUCUUUUGGUUUUCGCCCACAUACUCGUGCUCCUGCCCCACGUCGGAAUGACAGGCCAUGUUUUCCCCCUCGUGGUUCUCGUCAUUCUUUCGAGAGGUUUGAUUUUGCUAAUGCCUCUUUUGAGCAAGUGGCCCAACACUGGUUUUCUCUGCAUUAUCCUAACCCCAGUGUUGAGUCAUUAGCUCACUCUUGUGUUCGCCAUGGACUGCAGGAUGGAGGCGAGGAGAACAUAUGGAUAAUGGAUUCCGGUUGUUCGCGCCACAUGACCGGAGAUGACAAAUGGUUCUCCACCCUCACCCCCGCGAGCGGUAAGGAAUAUAUUACAUUCGGGGAUAAUAGUAAAGGUAAGGUUUUGGCGCAUGGCUGCAUCAAGGUAACUGAUAAAUUCAUACUAAAGGAUGUCGCGAAAGUACAAAAUUUGCACUAUAAUCUGCUUUCUGUCUCACAACUUCUUGAAGAUGAUUUUGAAGUGCGUUUUAAGAAAGGCAAUUCGCGAGUUCUUGAUUCUACUGGCAACCUUGUUUGCAAGAUUUCUCCCUUUGGAUGAGUUUUUAAGGUUGAUUUUUCUAAAUCUUUUGGACAGACUCGUUGUUUGGUUGCUCGUGGUUUCCCUGAUAUUUGGAAGUGGCAUCGUCGGUUGGGCCACUUGAGCUUUGAUUUGCUUUGUCGCUUGAGUUCGAUGGAUUUAAUUGAUGGUUUGCCAAAACUCAAGUUUGAAAAAGAUUUAAUUUGUGCUCCUUGCAAACAUGGAAAAAUGGUUGCUGCUUCCCAUGCACCUGUGACGCAGGUGAUGACGAGAUGACCGGGUGAACUGUUACAUAUGGACAUUGUUGGUCCAGCCCGUGUUCGGUCUGCUGGUGGGAAGUGGUAUGUGCUCGUUGUUGUGGAUGAUUUUUCUCGAUACUCAUGGGUGUUCUUUCUGGAAUCUAAGGAUGACGCCUUUUCACAUGUUCAUGAUCUUGUUCUGAAGCUGAAAAAUGAGUUGUCAAAUAAUGCCGUUAGAGCAAUUCGCAGUGACAAUGGUACGGAAUUCAAGAACUCUCGUAUGAAAGCUUUUUGCGCAGAACAUGGUCUUGAUCAUCAAUUUUCUUCUCCUUAUGUUCCUCCUCAGAAUGGUGUUGUUGAAAGGAAAAAUCGCACGCUUGUUGAAAUGGCUAGGACAAUGCUAGAUGAACAUAAAACCCCUAGACGUUUCUGGGCUGAGGCAAUCAACACCGCUUGCUAUGUUGCUAAUAGAAUUUUUCUGAGAGCUUUCCUGAAGAAAACAUCAUAUGAGUUGAGAUUUGGACGUCCUCCCAAAGUUUCCCACUUUCGAGUGUUUGGUUGCAAGUGCUUUAUUCUAAAAAAGGGAAACUUGGAUAAGUUUGAGUCUCGUUCUUCUGAUGGGUUAUUUCUGGGGUAUGCUUUGCAAGGGCGUGCUUACCGUGUGCUUAAUAUUGACACUAACCGCAUCGAGGAGACAUGUGAGGUCACCUUCGACGAGAAAAUGCCUUGUUUUUCUUUUGCUUUUGAAUGUGCAGGUGAUAAUGAGAUCGGGCAGGAUAUUUUUGAGGAUGAGCAAGAGGAAGAUGGAUACAACAAUGACGACGACGAUGACGCCCCGCCUGUGAUGCAGGGGGAGCCUGGCGCGCAGCUCGAGUAGGCACCCUCCACCACUUUGGACGAUGGACCAUUGCCUACACGUACAUCUACAGCAGCGCCUGCAGCUUCACCGAUUUUUGAUCAGGUACCGGCUGCAAUUGAAGGAGAGGCGAUUUCAGAACGUACAGCACCACGCCACAUUCAGAAUCGCCACCCUCCUGAAAAAAUGAUAGGUAACUUGAAUGAGCGAACGACACGGAACAGAGGUAUGAAAAACAAAAAUUAUUGUGUUUUUGCUCAUACUGCUUUUGUUGCCUCUUUUAAACCCCGAGAUGUUGGACAUGCUUUAUCUGAUUCUAACUGGGUCAAUGCCAUGCAUGAGGAGUUAGAAAAUUUUGAACGAAAUCAAGUUUGGGUUUUGGUUGAUCCUCCUCCUUCUUGUAAACCAAUUGGGACUAAAUGGGUUUUUAAGAACAAACAAGGAGAAGAUGGUCAUGUUGUCAGGAACAAAGCCAGAUUAGUGGCUCAGGGGUUUUGUCAAAAGGAGGGUAUUGAUUAUGGUGAAACUUUUGCUCCUGUUGCUCGUUUAGAAGCCAUUCGUAUCUUGCUUGCAUUGGCUGCUUCACAUGGUUACAAGCUUUAUCAAAUGGAUGUAAAAAGUGCUUUUCUGAAUGGUUUUAUAGAAGAAGAAGUUUAUGUCAAACAACCGCCUGGUUUUGAACACCCCAAUUUUCCUGAUCGUGUUUUUAAGUUGCAAAAGGCUUUAUAUGGUUUGAAGCAAGCACCUCGUGCUUGGUAUGCUAGAUUGAAAACUUUUCUACUUAAAAACGGAUUCAAAAUGGGUUCAGUUGAUAAAACUCUUUUUCUCCUCAGGCAAGGCAAUGACACUUUAAUAGUUCAGAUUUAUGUGGAUGAUAUCAUUUUCGGUGGUUCCUCUCAUGUUCUUGUGAAAAAGUUUGCAGAUGUGAUGAGCAAAGAAUUUGAGAUGUCUAUGAUGGGCGAGCUGAAAUUCUUUCUUGGCUUACAAAUUAAACAAACUUCGGAAGGAACAUUUGUACAUCAGGGAAAGUACACGAAGGAUGUCCUGCAGAAGUUUGCGAUGGAUGAUGCAAAGCCAAUUUCUACACCCAUGCCAACUAGCGCGGCUUUGGAUGCUGAUGAGAACGGAGAGCCCGUGGAUCAGAAGGAUUAUCGAAGCAUGAUCGGGUCACUGCUGUACUUGACUGCAACAAGGCCGGAUAUACACUUUGCUGUGUGUAUGUGUGCUCGUUUUCAAGCGUCCCCCAGGAUUUCUCAUCGUCAGGCGGUGAAGCGCAUCAUGAGGUAUCUUCGAUUUACUCCUGAAUUUGGCCUUUGGUACUCUGCUGCUUCGACUCUCAGUUUGUGUGGUUAUUCGGAUGCUGAUUUUGCUGGGUGUCGUUUGGAUAGAAAGUCUACUUCGGGUACUUGCCAAUUUUUGGGUUCUUCGCUUGUUUCUUGGUCCUCCAGAAAACAAUCCAAUGUUGCUCAAUCUACUACAGAGGCCGAGUAUGUUGCUGCUGCUAGUUGUUGUUCUCAGCUUUUAUGGAUGAUAGCUACCCUUCGCGAUUUUGGUUUGUCGUUUUCUCGCGUUCCUCUCUUGUGUGACAGCACUAGUGCUAUAAGUGUUGCAAAGAAUCCUGUGCUUCAUUCUAAGACGAAACAUAUUGAGGUUCGUCAUCAUUUUCUGAGGGAUCAUGUUGAGAAGGGUGAUAUUGAGCUUAAAUACAUUGAUACUAGUCAGCAACUUGCUGAUAUUCUGACUAAACCACUCGAUCAAACCACGUUUGCACGUUUGCGUGGUGAGUUCGGGGUGUGUUACCCAUUUUGGUAUCAUUAUGAGUUGCUUCGGUUACAUAUGCUUUAUACUUGUUUUGGCUAGUUUGCGACCGAUGCUUUUGGAGAGGUUUAAAUGCUUUGCUUGACCAGUUUUUUUGAAAACAACAUAUAUAUAUAUAUAUACUUCAAAAAUUAUGUUGGGCUCUACUUGCUUUUUUGGAUUUAGUGACUUGUUGAAUACUAGACAUAUGUAAGCUUCUUUUAAUGAUUUUUCACUGCAAAUGUAACUCACAAUGCAAGUUUUAAACUCGGAAGUGCAUACCAUGGUUGUGAGCAAAAACUCUGAAUUCCCAUAUCUCUGCUAUUUCGCUCAUGAUCUGCUUGCUUUACUGAGAAUUUACAUAUGGGCAUAACUCUGAUUUUCCCAUGUCUCUGCUGGUUCUCGCUCAUAAGCAAAAUUAAACAACCUGGCUGAGCACAAUUCUUGCUUCCCAUAUCCCUGCUUGUCAUGCUCAUAAAAGCCAGAAUUAAAUAUGACAAGUGCAUUUGUGGGCGUUGAAGUGAACUUUGAUUGAAGCUGUGUAUCCGUCGUGUGAGCUUGAUAUAUGUUUCUGUCUUCAGCUUGGCACUAAUUUUGCAAUAUGCAUGCUUUUGCCUGAUUAAUUGGUUUUCAAAACGACUUUAAUUCUAAAUUUCUAUUGGUCAUGGCAUUGUGUUGCUUCUCUGGAUGGCUAGUGUUGUUAGUUGGCUAUUAUAAGUAUUUGACAUAUGUCUCAGAAGCUUCUACUUGUGCUCUCUCACAUAGUUCUCGAAAUUGAUUCUUUGCAUUUUAAUCUUGAUGGAGUGCUUUGUCAACAAGGGGGAGAGUGAGUAGCACAAAUUCAUUUUUGCAAGAGGAGUUUGAUUUCGUUUUUUGCUGAGACUUGACGUGCUUGUUUUGAGGGGGAGCUUUGCUGAAAGUGUUGAGUUUUGCUGCUGAGAUUGCUUUUUGAAGAUUGAUAUAGUUUUUGAUUCACUUUGGGAGAGUGAUUUUUUUAUCUUGAUUGUGUUGAGCCUAGUUUUUUCUCUAGCCCAUGUCUUUGGGGAUCAAGAUUGUUUCUUUUUCCUUCUUUCUAUCUUCUUUUUUAGCUCGAAUAAAUUUGUGCGGUGUGGUGUUGUCAAUGCACUCAUCAAGGGGGAGAUUGAGAUGCCGGUGGGCUAGUACCUUGGUGAUGAGCGAUUGACAACACGGUGUGCGUGUGACGUGUCUCUUGGCAGGUGUGGUUGCAGGUGACAGGUGGAGACGAGGUGCAUGCGGCGACGAGUGAAGAACGGGGAUAGGAUGCCAUGCCGACGAACCGUGGGACGGUGAAGGGUGGAUCAAGGCUUGCGUUCGAGGGACAGGCGAUCGUGCGGUGUACGUCUACUGUACCUGGCUACACGGCGAGAGGACGUCAAGGGAGGUUUUCGGAUUACACCACAAAAUCCGGGGUUCGCUGGUUGAGCCAUAAAGCCAUGCAUCGUACCGGGACGCUCGUGCGGCGAGCGUUGGCCGAAGAUGGAAAUUCCGGCGAUCGCGAUACGAUUUCGGAUGGUCGUGCGGCGACAUCGCGAGGAUCACAUCACGGAGAUGGAGGAAUCGCGGACAUCGCGGAAUUUGUCAUGGAGGACGUAACUAGAAUUUACACACCUACGUUAAAUUUAUUUAGCGUAGGGGGUUAUGUGUAAAUAGGCCGUGCCACCCUAAGGAUAUAAAUACGUAGCACCUAGGGUUGAGAGAGUAGGAGCCCUUUUGCUACAGGCGGCGCUACAGUACUCGGCGCUACAGUAACUCGGCGCUACAGUAACUCGGCGCUACAGUAACUCGCGGUUACUGUUCACGCGUGGUACUGUUCAUCGUCGCAGGUACUGUUCAUCUCUCUCUAGUCUAGCCUAGGGUUUCAAUCUAAGUGAGGGAUUUUUAUUGAUCUCUCCAAUUAAGAGAGGGAGGAUGUUUGGGCGGAGGCUAGAUGUACUUUUGUAAGCACAUUACUUGUCUCAAUUUUUCAUAUUAGUGAAUUAAUCUAUGUGCUUGUGCGUCAUGUUGUGCUGAGGUUAAGAUUGAUUUGAUCCAUCUAAAAUCAUGCUAGGGCAUCUUAUUAGAGCUUAAUCUAUUCUCGUCAUUGUCUGAUACAGUCUGCUUGUUCCUUUAAUAUCUCAAGAUCCGAAAGUCCGAUUGACAUGAUUCCAGUUGGGUUAGUUGCAUAAUUUUGUAUAGAUUUUUCUGUCAAAUUUUUAGGUUGAUCGGUCUUACGGAUUUUCGUCCAUAUCCUUUUUAUUAAGGAAACAGUAUUCUGUCCAGAUUUGAAAAACGUGAUUUAAUUAGGUUUUGAGAGGAAGGGGAAGUGUUAAACUUUAUUUUUUGAACUUGCGCCCAUUCACCCCCCCUCUGGUCGCCGUUUCGGUCCUUCACAUACACAUAUGAUCCAGGAUAUAGUAGUCAACCCAUCAAUUGCGCAGAUCUCCUUACCUCAGCAUUGAGCUAAAACCUGUACAGAUGAAAUUGAAGCCUGCACAAAAAUUGAAAGAAGAAACACAAUGAAUUCGGUUAGGUUGUUUUUCCUGUGCAAAAAUAGAAAUUUUGUUGCUCGAUAAAAGAUUGCAAUUUCCAAAGAGUGGAAUGCUUUC